ACGCCCGGCUGCCCGGAAAGCCCGGCGGGGGGCGGGGUGAGGCGCGGACGGGAGGGCGGCUGCCUGGAAAGCCCGGCGCGCGGAUCGCGGGGUUACCCUAAGAUGGCUGUUGUGCGCGGGGCGCCGCUGCUGUAGCGCCGUGAGGAGCCGCCCGCCCGCCCGCCAUGGAGUGCCCGCACCUCGGCUCCAGCGUCUGCAUCGCGCCCGACUCGGCCAAGUUCCCGCAGGGCUCGCCUUCCUCUUGGUGCUGCAGCGUGUGCCGGUCAAAUAAAAGUCCAUGGGUCUGUCUGACGUGCUCAAGUGUCCAUUGUGGAAGAUAUGUGAAUGGCCAUGCAAAAAAGCAUUAUGAAGAUGCACAGAUUCCUAUGACCAAUCAUAAGAAAACAGAAAAACAAGAGAAAGUUCAGCAUACUGUGUGUAUGGAUUGCAGUAGUUACAGCACAUACUGUUAUCGCUGUGAUGAUUUUGUAGUCAAUGAUACCAAGCUGGGCCUGGUACAGAAGGUCAGAGAGCACCUACAGAACUUGGAAAAUUCAGCCUUCACAUCAGACAGACAUAGGAAAAGAAAACUAUUGGAAAACUCAUCUCUGAACAGCAAGUUAUUAAAAGUAAAUGGAAGCACCACUGCCCUCUGUGCCACAGGCCUGCGGAACCUGGGGAAUACGUGUUUCAUGAAUGCAAUCCUUCAGUCACUCAGUAACAUUCAACAGUUUUGCUGUUACUUCAAAGAGCUGCCCGCUGUGGAGCUGAGGAAUGGGAAGACGGCCGGCAGGCGAACUUACCAUACCAGGAGCCAGGGGGAUAACAACGUUUCAUUGGUGGAAGAAUUCAGAAAGACACUCUGUGCUUUGUGGCAAGGAAGCCAAACUGCAUUCAGUCCUGAGUCUUUAUUUUACGUUGUUUGGAAAAUCAUGCCAAAUUUUAGGGGAUAUCAGCAACAAGAUGCCCAUGAGUUCAUGCGUUACCUUUUGGACCAUCUACACCUGGAACUCCAGGGUGGCUUCAAUGGUGUUUCACGUGCAGUAAUUCUACAAGAAAAUUCUAACCUGUCUGCAAGCAACAAAUGUUGCAUAAAUGGAGCGUCCACUGUCGUGACAGCAAUAUUUGGAGGCAUUCUUCAAAAUGAAGUCAACUGCCUAAUAUGUGGGACUGAAUCUAGAAAGUUUGACCCAUUCCUAGACCUUUCGCUAGAUAUUCCAAGUCAGUUCAGAAAUAAACGUACUAAAAAUCAAGAAAAUGGACCAAUGUGCACACUACGAGAUUGUCUUCGCAGUUUUACAGACCUAGAAGAACUUGAUGAGACAGAGCUGUACAUGUGUCACAAAUGCAAAAAGAAACAGAAGUCCACCAAAAAAUUCUGGAUUCAGAAAUUACCAAAGGUGCUAUGCUUACACUUGAAACGAUUCCACUGGACAGCAUAUCUGAGGAACAAAGUUGAUACCUAUGUUGAGUUUCCCUUACGAGGCCUAGACAUGAAAUGCUACUUGUUAGAGCCUGAGAACAGUGGCCCGGAAAGCUGCCUGUACGACCUUGCGGCUGUUGUUGUGCAUCACGGCUCAGGCGUUGGCUCUGGGCACUACACGGCAUACGCGGCGCACGAGGGCCGCUGGUUCCACUUCAACGACAGCACUGUGACCCUGACCGACGAGGAGACCGUGGGCAAGGCCAAGGCCUACAUCCUCUUCUACGUGGAGCGGCAAGCCAGGCCCGGGGCAGAGAAACUUUAAUACCUCCUUCUCCAUUCUCACGUAUCAAGUCCACCGGACAAAACAUUUCCAUUUUUCCAUAAAUACUUGAUCCAAGACUAUUAAUUUCAUUGUGCACUUUUCAAUUUCCUCUUGUGGGUUUUAGUUUUGUUGUGUCAAUGGUAGCAUUUGACUUACUGAACUUGGACACAAACUAACUUUUUUUUUUUUUUUUAGUUAUACCAGAAAACCUCAGCAGAUUUUGAUUUGCUGCUUUAGUUGUGAUAACUCAAUUUUUAUAUAUAUAGUUUCAUGAAAUACUUAGUUAUUUGACUUUUUUUUUUAUAUUAAUGUUUUCAGUUCUCACUUUCUAAAGGCACAUUUACAUCAGAGAAGCUUUCUGUCCUCCUUAAAAGCAAGAUAAAUGUGCUUCUGAUUAUGAAGAGCAAUACAAAUUCAUGCUGUUCUCACAGCUGUUACGUAGCUACAAUUUAAUCUCUUUAAAUAAAAGAAUUGUUUUCCUAUUUUCCCUCAUGCAAGAAAACUAAACAGUGACCUCUGAACAAUCAUUCUUUGUCUGCAGAAGAGAGGAGAUGUGGCAUCAUUAAAUAGACCAGCCAGAGCCAUUCUGCUAAUGGGAAUAGGUAGCCGUUACCAUUUAUACAGGCAGAAAAAGGUAUUUGACAGCCUGCAUUGGUGUGCAGAGCCAGUGAAGCAUCCUGUCACCUUCUUGCCCUGAAGGUAAUACUGCCCUCAGCUGGGGAGAUGUAGAUUCCAUCUGUAGCUGUGUUUUUUGCCUGCAUGCUACUUGGAUCGGUUUGUUUUAGAAUUUGAGAAUACAAAGCUUAAAGUAGACAACCCACUAUGGGCCAGAAGCAGUUUAACUUACAGCAACCACGUGCCUGAAGUGUUCUUGCAAAACAGUGAUGUAAAUGUGCCUUUCCAUAUUUUUAGAAACUUAAAUUUGUAAUUUUCAGCAACAUUCACUUGUUUUUAA